CCUACGGGAGGCUGCAGUGAGGAAUAUUGGUCAAUGGACGGAAGUCUGAACCAGCCAUGCCGCGUGCAGGAAGACGGCCCUAUGAGUUGUAAACUGCUUUUGUACAAGGGUAAACCUGAAUACGUGUAUUCAGCUGAAAGUACUGUACGAAUAAGGAUCGGCUAACUCCGUGCCAGCAGCCGCGGUAAUACGGAGGAUCCAAGCGUUAUCCGGAUUUAUUGGGUUUAAAGGGUGCGUAGGCGGAUUGAUAAGUUAGAGGUGAAAUGUCCGAGCUUAACUCGGGAACUGCCUCUAAUACUGUUGGUCUAGAGAGUAGAUGCGGUAGGCGGAAUGUAUGGUGUAGCGGUGAAAUGCUUAGAGAUCAUACAGAACACCGAUUGCGAAGGCAGCUUACCAAUCUAUAUCUGACGUUGAGGCACGAAAGCGUGGGGAGCAAACAGGAUUAGAUACCCGGGUAGUC
rnacentral:rRNA from 1 species